CCGGUGGCGGUGCUUACCUGCGAGAGCUGCCGGGGGUUGGGGCAGCCGAAGAGCGCGGAGCUGGAGCUGAAGCUGAUGGCCCCUCUGCGGCUGAGGACGUGCUGCGGCACCGGCCUGUCCAGCGGCAGCACCGGCAGCUGAACUGCAAUCUACCUUGUUUCAUGGACAGCCCCAAAGACUGAUGGACGCAUCCGAGAAAACACUGGAUCAGCUGCCUCGUCUUAAAAGCUCACUUCAGCUGGAUUUCUCCCAUUUCUUGAAAAAAAAUGUCACAAACAUUUACCAUGUGAUUGCUUAAUAUAUCCAUGCAAGAAUUCAAAAUAUAUAAGCACAUAAUUCAUAGUAAAAUAACACACUCCGUAUUUUUUUUUUUUCAGUAAGUAAGGUAUGUUGGGUUUUCUCAGCAUUCUUUGACAGUUUACUCAUAUUUGGCCUUCUUACAUUAAAUCAGUGCUUCAUUUAAGCUACUGAUAUAGCUCCACCAGCUUCACUGGAGUCACAAUUUCCCUCCCCCAUUUUUCAACAUGACCUUUAGUUCUUUCCUAUUAAUAACCAAUCAGUUUUCUGUACCCUGGUAGGAUGGUUUUUCACUCUAGUCAGUCUUAAAUUCAAUUUGUGAACAAUAUAUCAUGACUUGUAGGGAAAAAAAGCAUAUUCUUACUUUCACUGAAUAUAUAUGGUGUAUAUUUUAAUCCUACAGGGUCAAACUGUAAAUAAAGAUUAUUGAUAAUGUGUUUUACAGUUCCUAUCAGCUCUAGGUAUUUUCCAUGUGACUACUUGAAACUAGUUCAUUAAGGUCAUGUUAGUGUUCCGUCCUUAAAUAACAUAAUCAGCAUUUUCCCUCCCUAAUAAUCAAAUUAUCUUUGAUCUCUAAUUAAUGUUACAUAAACAUCUUUAAGGAAUCUGAAAUACAAUGAAGUAAGCAGAAGUUUUCCAGGUAGUGACUGAUUCUUCAAGUGCUCUGCUUUCAGGACACGAAUUUCUAUUUUUAAUAAUUACAGAAGUUACUAAUGUGAGCCAGGUGAUGAUUUAUUGUAUGAGUUUACAAGGAAUAAUUGCAGAGGAUUUGUUUUUUCUUUGCUCACAGCUCUCAGAAUCCCCCUCUACGCUUAAUUUAAGACUGGAGAUUUACUGGCAGAUUAUGUCUUCCAGAAACAGGGAGUGACUGUGGAAACACGUGAGCAAAAGUCGGUUUUGAAUGCAGCUGCAAACUGUCUCGAGUUUAAUAGCUGUUCAAAGGCAGCUUUUCGUAACUCCACUGAAGAUAUUAUUGGGAAUAACAACAUGAAAAGGUGAUUCUUCUUGUGCUGUUGUUCAUUCUUCGAUGCAUUUCUAGAAAACUUGCUGGAGUGCACACAGUUGAAACGAUCUCAGCCAUGAAAGUUCUGUUUUUCUCGGUGGUUACCUUUGCCUGGACAAAAAUCCUCACACGACAAUAGCAUUAAUAUGACUAAGGGCGUCAGUGUCAGCAGAAGCUGGUGGAUAAAGCUUUUCUUCGUGUCAUUUUUACAGGCAUAAUAACAGUUGAUGUGCAGAAUAUUUUUAAUGUCAGAGUGGGAGGAUAUGAGAAGCCCAGGUGCAGUUUCAGAGGUGCAGCUUGCAAGUUUAGUGGGGUUAUGAGAAGCUGAAAAUUCACAGCUUUUUGUGUUGCUGAUGGAAGUGGGUUUGGACCCCUACGAACAGACAAAACAAAUGUGUUGCACGUUCGCAAGCUGAACCAUUUCUCAACAUACCGUUCAGCGUGCAGAACCUGGUAGCUUCCAGGAUAAGCUGUUGAGCAGCAAUCGCCCAUUUUGUCCACAGAAAAUAUAGCGGUUUGUUUUGAUUUGGUUUUGUAACCUUUUUUUUAACAUUUUAUUUGUUGCCCCAAUACCUCAUUAAAAUUGCACAUCCUUUCUAGGUUUCUUUAUACGUAGGUGUAAUUACUGUUUUCAAAAUGGUCUUAACAAGGAUUUUUUUAAAGCAAUUUUGACUAUUUUUAAAAAGUUAAGCAAGCAGUCCUAUAAUUAGUACACUGAGAUUUAAGUCUGAGUUUGGAAGUCGUAUUUAGGUUCAAAUGAUUCCUGGUGUCCCAUCUAAUUCUUUAUUGGCCUAUUGGGAGUAAAGAAGUCUUCUGAUAUUAAAGCUGAGAAGUGAAAUGCUGAGCUAAAAUUCCAACAUGCCAACUAGACUAAAGCAACAGUGUCUUAUUAAUCUCACCGUGUUGUGUUGUCAAAAACUAAAGGAAAGCAAUUUGUUGUUUAAAGCUCAAAUAUGAGAUGUUUCUGAGUAAUACUAAAAUUUUUUAGACAAAGAACAUUUAAAUUUUUUACAAUUUCUGGUUAAAUUAAAGAUGAGUUCACUUCCUUGUUGUGGAAGCUUAUCAGUGUGAGAAGUUGGAAUAGUUGCGUUUUGGGUGUGCUAAAAUUAUUGGAAAAUUUCUGGCAACAAAAAGGACACAUUAACAACCAUCUCCCUUUGGUGAAUGAAGCAAACCAGAAAUGGGGACUGGAAUAAUUCGCAGCAUUUGCACUUCUGAUAAUUUGGGUGACUACAUCCAGGAACCUAGCAGUCUUUCUCUUGCACUUUGGCUUUUUUACUAUUCUAUUUGAAGUGCCAUUUUGUUCUAUUAUUCCCCUCACAAGAAGAGUUAAGUUGAAAUAAAUAGUAACUAUGCUUAGAAUUAACAAAUACUUUCAGAAGAUCACAUUAGGAGUGAAAAUGUAUACUAAUUAGUAUUCAAAUUAAAUUACUCCAUUAUAUUCCAAGUAAUUGUUUUUUCUGCCUUUCCAAAAGAUGCUCAAAUGUACUGCUUCAGUUUCUCUGUUAAAUUUGAGCUUCCAUCAAAAAUUAAUCAUGUAUUUCAUGUUUUUAUGAUUGCUUCUUAGCUAAUUGGUGGGACUGCUCUUCUAUCAAAACCUAUAGCAGUAGAAGGUAAUCCGAAUAGGAUGAGUAGAAGUCAGAGGGUUGAAUAUUUGCAGCAACUGAUUUUUUUCCACCAAGUAGCAUCCUGACAUUUCCUGGUGAAGGGAAGAAUGUGUCAGGGUUAACAUUAGCAUGAUUUCUUCUUGAAAGUCUGGAAAAACAUCUGUCAUUCUGCCGGUCUUCCCGUUAAAUACCUGAGCAAAUGCAGUGAGAAGAUUUGAUUACUUCCAAGAGACUACCUCUGGUUUUAUUUAGGUUUAUUCUUUGCUAGACAUUUUGUUUUUAACAAUAGCAAAAAGGAGGUAGCUGGAAUUCUGUCUGAUUUACAACUCACUAAAUUUCUACGUGCUUAAUCCAAUUAAAACUGGAAGGAAUGUUGCCAAUAUGUCAACAAAAAUGCAACAAAGUGAUGAGAGGGUUAGUUUACAGAAAUUCCUGAAUUCUUUUGUCUUGACCAAAUGAAAGAAAAUUGUUCUUGUAAGGCAAGUGCAUACUAAAAGGAUUAACUCUGAUAAAACUUACUUUUAUGCUCAGAUAAAA